rnacentral:rRNA from 1 species
UACAGAGGGUGCAAGCGUUGUUCGGAAUUAUUGGGCGUAAAGGGCGCGUAGGCGGUGCGGUAAGUCUGCAGUGAAAUCUCUGGGCUCAACUCAGAGUCUGCUGUGGAAACUGCCGUGCUUGAGUGUGGGAGAGGUGAGUGGAAUUCCCGGUGUAGCGGUGAAAUGCAUAAAUAUCAAAAGGAACACCUAUGGCGAAAGCGGCUCACUGGACCACAACUGACGCUGAGGCGCGAAAGCUAGGGGAGCAAACAGG